rnacentral:rRNA from 1 species
GACGAACGCUGGCGGCGUGCCUAAUACAUGCAAGUAGAACGCUGAAGGAGGAGCUUGCUUCUCCGGAUGAGUUGCGAACGGGUGAGUAACGCGUAGGUAACCUGCCUGGUAGCGGGGGAUAACUAUUGGAAACGAUAGCUAAUACCGCAUAACAGUAGAUAUUGCAUGAUAUCUGCUUGAAAGGUGCAAUUGCAUCACUACCAGAUGGACCUGCGUUGUAUUAGCUAGUUGGUGAGGUAACGGCUCACCAAGGCGACGAUACAUAGCCGACCUGAGAGGGUGAUCGGCCACACUGGGACUGAGGCACGGCCCAGACUCCUACGGGAGGCAGCAGCAGGGAAUCUUCGGCAAUGGACGGAAGUCUGACCGAGCAACGCCGCGUGAGUGAAGAAGGUUUUCGGAUCGUCAAGCUCUGUUGUAAGAGAAGAACGAGUGUGAGAGUGGAAAGUUCACACUGUGACGGUACCUUACCAGAAAGGGACGGCUAACUACGUG